GACGAACGCUGGCGGCGUGCUUAACACAUGCAAGUCGAACGGAAAGGCCCUGCUUUUGUGGGGUGCUCGAGUGGCGAACGGGUGAGUAACACGUGAGUAACCUGCCCUUGACUUUGGGAUAACCUCAGGAAACUGCGGCUAAUACCGGAUAGGAUCUCCUGCUGCAUGGUGGGGGUUGGAAAGUUUCGGCGGUUGGGGAUGGACUCGCGGCUUAUCAGCUUGUUUGUGGGGUAGUGGCUUACCAAGGCUUUGACGGGUAGCCUGCCUGAGAGGGUUACCGGCCACCUUGGGACUGAGAUACGGAGCAGACUCCUACGGGACGCAGCAGUGGGGAAUAUUGCACAAUGGGCGGAAGCGUGAUGCAGCAACGCCGCGUGCGGGAUGCCGGCUUUCGGGUUGUAAACCGCUUUCGCCUGUGACGAAGCGUGAGUGACGGUAAUGGGUAAAGAAGCACCGGCUAACUACGUG
rnacentral:rRNA from 1 species